GUUGGAUAUGUAAAUAAAUUCAAUGUUCAAAUUCAUGGGAGUAGUAAUAAACUGGUAUGACAUGAAAGUUUGUACAAAAAGAACAAUGAGGAGAAUUGUUUAAAAGCAAAGGAAAAGUAUAAAGACAUCUACCGAAACCAAAAAUGAGCGGCUGGCUUAUGUUGUCUCUGUUUGUAUGUUGUUUCCCAUCAAGCGUUGUUAAUGCCAACACUUUUUCACCAUACUGAAGACGACCGAAAACCCGAAACACGUAUCUACGGAUAUCAAGGAAUGUUAAUGACCACAAGUGAUCUACAACCCCUAGACUCAGAGGCCCUCGAGUUUGCAAGUCGUCUUCCUCAAGGCAUAGAAACAUCCACUAAAUGCCUUUGGCCAUAAAUAAUUAUUUGAUACUGAAAUCUAUGAUUAGAAUACAUUGAAACUCAGCAUAUAUGAAUGAAGAUCAUCUGACUCAGGACAUCAAUGUGUCAUUGAAAUAAAAAAAUAAAAUAAUUAAAAAAAAAAAUAUGAAAUACAAAAAAAAAUACAUCUAAUAUCAUACAAUCGAGUUUUCACGAAGAAUAUGUUUAUUGAUUCAAUGAAAUCGAUGUUUGAUUACCAUGAAAAUCAGUACGGAUGAACGUAGAAAUAUAUUGUGAUAUAUGGGAACAAUCUAUUUCAUUGUUCAGAUGGCGAAUGAGACAAUGGUCUGUAUGGUCCAUCAACAUCAACCCACUGCAACUUUCCAACUCCAUCUGUGAAUCGGUUCUAGCCUUAUUACAAAAUGCGAACUUAAUUUGCAUUGUUUGCUGAUUUCCCGUUAUAUUUCGUUCACUGGAAUCAUAAAUCAAUCUGUUUGCAUACACUUAUUUCUUUUAUUGAAGAUAUGUCCACAUAGGAAAGGACGAAAAUUCGUCUGAAACUGCAAUAUUGUUAUUCAUUGAAGGGACCUGGUGACACUUAAAUAAAAGAUAAGUAGCAACCAAGCCAGAAUCGUAACGUUGUGGUGAAAUUUCAAAUAUUUUCUACAGUCUUUCAAUAAAACUGGUACCUAUGCUAUGUGAUUAAAUUGUGUAGGGAAUUCUAUUCAUUUAUUUUAUUUAUAUACUAUUUCCAAAAUCCCAAUGAGUAAAUCCGAAAUUUUUCAGAGGCUACUACGAUGAUAUAAUCAUUUAUUAUUAUUUAAGGCCCUGUAUAUGGUCAUCCGAACAUGAAAGUCCAGAGCUACAUCACUGAAGUAACCGACCCUUAUGUGUUGGUUUCCAAACUUACUACAAAAUUUUUCACUAUUUUACUUUUGAAAAAGUUAUGGGACAAAAAUAAUUUAUUUAAAGUGGGAAAAUAUAAGCUGACAUCAGUCCGAGAGUAUUUAUGUGGUAUGCCAAUCAUAUAAAGCAGUGUGUAAUCCCUCUGCACUCUAUGCACCAAAAAGGUUGCUCUUCAUUUGAAAAACAGAAAGAAUUAUAAGUUUUGAACAUGUCAGUUUAAUAUUCAAAACAGAGAGAGAAUGAUAACAAAUAUAACCUAUAAAUUAUGAAAAUCAUCAUAGUGCAGCACAUUGAAAGAGAACCCUGAGAACUAAACAAACAGGGAGGCAUGCCAAGAUCUAGAGAUAAGAACGAUUGGGAAUUGGAGAACACUUUGCCCACCCAUGCGUUGUGUUCAAUAUUGGUAAGACAUAAUUUAUCGUUAUUGAUUAAUAGUAAUUAUUACGUCUGCUAUAACAAUUAUCUUCACGUUUUCUCAAUAUGCUGGAAGAUAUAUGGUAAUAAGGAACUGUAUACUAUACGAGGUUCGAAUUCCAAAGCUCAGCAAGUCCCCUAUAAUUUACA